rnacentral:rRNA from 1 species
AUGGCCAUGGAGAGGUUCUUGACUAUGCUUGUCUUCUGCGAGGCGCCCAUCGACGGGUACAGUAUGUCUGUGAUGACAACCGGCUCGGUCAGCAAGCUGGUCUCCGGUGGCACGUCCAAACCGGCGUCUCACAAGGUGGACGACGAGGAGAAAAAGCAGGGAUACUCCGAAGGGUCGACGUUGCAGCGGCAUGCUUGGUUCCAGCUAGCCUUCGACGGCCUCAACUGCUUCGACACCGUCAUGAUGCACUGA